AGAGUUUGAUCCUGGCUCAGGAUGAACGCUAGCGACAGGCUUAACACAUGCAAGUCGAGGGGCAGCGAGGGAGUGGCAACACUUCUGUCGGCGACCGGCGCACGGGUGAGUAACGCGUAUGCAACCUGCCCUUCACAGGGGGAUAACCGGGAGAAAUUCCGACUAAUACCGCAUACGUCCUCCGGGGGCAUCCCCGGGGGAUGAAAGAAUUAGUCGGUGAAGGAUGGGCAUGCGUGAUAUUAGGUAGUUGGCGGGGCAACGGCCCACCGAAGCCCACGAUAUCUAGGGGUUCUGAGAGGAAGGUCCCCCANAUUGGUACUGGAGACACGGACCAAACUCCUACGGGAGCA
rnacentral:rRNA from 1 species